UAUACUGACUGUGCUAAGGUAGCAUAAUCAUUAGAUUUUUAAUUGAAAUCUUGUUUGAAAGGUUAAAUGAAAUAAAUUCUUUUUUAUUAUAAAUAUUGAAUUUUAUUUUUUAGUUAAAAAGCUAAAAUAAUAUAAAGGGACGAGAAGACCCUAUAGAAUUUUAUAAAAUUUAAAUUUAAAUUUAAUAAUUAUUUUAAUUUAAAUUUAAUAAUUUAUUUUGUUGGGGCGAUAGUUAAAUUUAAUUAACUUUUAAAUUAAAAAUCAUUUAUAUUUGUAUUUAUGAUCUUUUUAUAUUGAUUAAAAAUUUAAAUUACCUUAGGGAUAACAGCAUAAUAUUAUUAAAAAGUUCUUAUUUUUAAUAUUGUUUAUGACCUCGAUGUUGGAUUAAAUAAAAUUUUUAUAAGAAAAAUUAUAAUAAAUAAGUCUGUUCGACUUUUAAUUAUUUACAUGAUCUGAGUUCAAACCGGUGUAA
rnacentral:rRNA from 1 species